GACGAACGCUGGCGGCGUGCCUAAUACAUGCAAGUCGAGCGAAUCAAAGGGAGCUUGCUCCCUGAGGUUAGCGGCGGACGGGUGAGUAACACGUGGGCAACCUGCCUAUAAGACUGGGAUAACUUCGGGAAACCGGAGCUAAUACCGGAUAAUUCAUAUCUACUCAUGUAGAUAUGCUGAAAGACGGUUUACGCUGUCACUUAUAGAUGGGCCCGCGGCGCAUUAGCUAGUUGGUGAGGUAACGGCUCACCAAGGCGACGAUGCGUAGCCGACCUGAGAGGGUGAUCGGCCACACUGGGACUGAGACACGGCCCAGACUCCUACGGGAGGCAGCAGUAGGGAAUCUUCCGCAAUGGACGAAAGUCUGACGGAGCAACGCCGCGUGAGUGAUGAAGGUUUUCGGAUCGUAAAACUCUGUUGUUAGGGAAGAACAAGUACUAGAGUAUCUGCUAGUACCUUGACGGUACCUAACCAGAAAGCCACGGCUAACUACGUGCCAGCAGCCGCCGCGGUAA
rnacentral:rRNA from 1 species